rnacentral:rRNA from 1 species
AUGAACGCUAGCUACAGGCUUAACACAUGCAAGUCGAGGGGCAGCAUCAUCAAAGCUUGCUUUGAUGGAUGGCGACCGGCGCACGGGUGAGUAACACGUAUCCAACCUGCCGACAACACUGGGAUAGCCUUUCGAAAGAAAGAUUAAUACCGGAUGGCAUAAUUAUUCCGCAUGGGAUAAUUAUUAAAGAAUUUCGGUUGUCGAUGGGGAUGCGUUCCAUUAGGCAGUUGGCGGGGUAACGGCCCACCAAACCUACGAUGGAUAGGGGUUCUGAGAGGAAGGUCCCCCACAUUGGAACUGAGACACGGUCCAAACUCCUACGGGAGGCAGCAGUGAGGAAUAUUGGUCAAUGGACGAGAGUCUGAACCAGCCAAGUAGCGUGAAGGAUGACUGCCCUAUGGGUUGUAAACUUCUUUUAUACGGGAAUAAAGUGAGCCACGUGUGGCUUUUUGUAUGUACCGUAUGAAUAAGGAUCGGCUAACUCCGUGCCAGCAGCCGCGGUAAUACGGAGGAUUCGAGCGUUAUCCGGAUUUAUUGGGUUUAAAGGGAGCGUAGGCGGGUUGUUAAGUCAGUUGUGAAAGUUUGCGGCUCAACCGUAAAAUUGCAGUUGAUACUGGCGACCUUGAGUGCAACAGAGGUAGGCGGAAUUCGUGGUGUAGCGGUGAAAUGCUUAGAUAUCACGAAGAACUCCGAUUGCGAAGGCAGCCUGCUAAGCUGCAACUGACAUUGAGGCUCGAAAGUGUGGGUAUCAAACAGGAUUAGAUACCCUGGUAGUCCACACAGUAAACGAUGAAUACUCGCUGUUGGCGAUAUACGGUCAGCGGCCAAGCGAAAGCAUUAAGUAUUCCACCUGGGGAGUACGCCGGCAACGGUGAAACUCAAAGGAAUUGACGGGGGCCCGCACAAGCGGAGGAACAUGUGGUUUAAUUCGAUGAUACGCGAGGAACCUUACCCGGGCUUAAAUUGCAACUGACGGAACCGGAAACGGUUCUUUCUUCGGACAGUUGUGAAGGUGCUGCAUGGUUGUCGUCAGCUCGUGCCGUGAGGUGUCGGCUUAAGUGCCAUAACGAGCGCAACCCUUACGGGUAGUUACCAUCAGGUUAUGCUGGGGGCUCUACCCGGACUGCCGUCGUAAGAUGUGAGGAAGGUGGGGAUGACGUCAAAUCAGCACGGCCCUUACGUCCGGGGCUACACACGUGUUACAAUGGGGGGUACAGAAGGCAGCUACACGGCGACGUGGUGCUAAUCCCAAAAGCCUCUCUCAGUUCGGAUUGGAGUCUGCAACCCGACUCCAUGAAGCUGGAUUCGCUAGUAAUCGCGCAUCAGCCACGGCGCGGUGAAUACGUUCCCGGGCCUUGUACACACCGCCCGUCAAGCCAUGAAAGCCGGGGGUACCUGAAGUACGUAACCGCGAGGAGCGUCCUAGGGUAAAACUGGUGAUUGGGGCU